rnacentral:rRNA from 1 species
UACAGAGGGUGCGAGCGUUAAUCGGAAUUACUGGGCGUAAAGCGUGCGCAGGCGGUCUGUUAAGACCGAUGUGAAAUCCCCGGGCUUAACCUGGGAACUGCAUUGGUGACUGGCAGGCUUUGAGUGUGGCAGAGGGAGGUAGAAUUCCACGUGUAGCAGUGAAAUGCGUAGAGAUGUGGAGGAAUACCGAUGGCGAAGGCAGCCUCCUGGGCCAACACUGACGCUCAUGCACGAAAGCGUGGGGAGCAAACAGGA